CUUUUCUAGGAGGUAGCAGGGAAUGGUCUUCAGGUGAGGACAAGAGCAGCACACCCCAGUGGAAAGGGAAAAGCUGUGUCAUUUAUAUUCCCAAACAGGUGAGCGUGGGUUCUUCUGCCAGCACCGUGAGGUGUCUCAUGCAGGGAGGAGAGGCAGAAGGGCUGAAGGAGAACAACCAAGCAGCAGUUAUGCAGGUGCCAUCUUCAGCAAGAGAGAGUGUACUGGAAACUGCAGUGAUAGAAACAAACUGCUGGGGAAUCUGUGAUUUGUAUAGACAGACAGAUAAUGUCACUUAAUCUCAUUCUGGCUCCCCGCCAAGCAACCCACAGAAGAUUUCAUGCUCAAGCCCGGAGAGGAAUCCGCUCAGUCUCUUUUUAACGCAUUUACACUGAGAAACUGCACCAGCAGCAGAUUGAUUUGAUCAACCCGAACCCACACGCCCCCCUCUGCGCUCCUGGCUGCCGUGCGAGGGCAGUGUUAGCUCAGCAAGCUGGGUGCUGGGUGCUCGCUGCCUGCACCUCCCAGCCCGGGGCUGUGCGGCUGCCUGGGGGGGACCAGGGACAUUUUCCUGUCCCAAGGAUGGCUCCUGCGGAGGAGCUGCCCGUACUUGUCAGAUACCGGAAGAGGGAUUACGCUGUAGUGGGAUGUGGAGAUCAUAAAAAUGGCUUGUUUGGAAGUGCUCUGUGAUCGCUGCGGCAUCCUCAGCAGACAGCACCGAGGUGGAAGCAGAACUGCCAGAGUACAGAAAAGCAGGGGCUGAGACUAGGGAGGAGAGAAGCAUCAGGAAAAUCCCCUUGCUGGGCAGGGAAACCCUCUGCGGAAGUGGAAACGGAGCAUUUGCGCUUGGAAAAUCACAAAGGAGCGAGGGAAGCUUGCACCGGCAAGACAUUUCCCAGAAGUGUGCUGCCGGCAGUGUUCUUUGCCCUGCGCAGCCUGACGAGCGUUCGGGUUGAUCCCGGCAUCUCCAGGAACGGCAGCGGGGCCAGGCUGGGGAUGCAGGAUCCGGCCCUGAGCCCCUGUGCGCACGUCGUGGCAGCAAGUCCUCGGUAACAAAGCCGCCGCACGGAAUAAAGGAACGAGGAUUCAGCUUUAAUUA
rnacentral:lncRNA from 1 species